UCCGGGCGGACGCCGAGUCCUGCCGCCGCCCGGAUGCCCGGUCGACAGAAGUGGAUCGGCAGGAGUGGAGGACCCAGCACGACGGUCCGCCGGAGCAGCAUUCCGCGCGGUCCUUGGGGUGAAGCCGCAGCAGCGGCCGGGCAACUUCGCCAGCCCGAAUCCGACAGGUCAUCCUUCACAGGCGGCUGACGAAGGGUUG
rnacentral:sRNA from 2 species